GAUGAACGCUGGCGGCGUGCCUAAUACAUGCAGGUCGAGCGAACGGACGAGAAGCUUGCUUCUCUGAUGUUAGCGGCGGACGGGUGAGUAACACGUGGAUAACCUACCUAUAAGACUGGGAUAACUUCGGGAAACCGGAGCUAAUACCGGAUAAUAUUUUGAACCGCAUGGUUCAAAAGUGAAAGACGGUCUUGCUGUCACUUAUAGAUGGAUCCGCGCUGCAUUAGCUAGUUGGUAAGGUAACGGCUUACCAAGGCAACGAUGCAUAGCCGACCUGAGAGGGUGAUCGGCCACACUGGAACUGAGACACGGUCCAGACUCCUACGGGAGGCAGCAGUAGGGAAUCUUCCGCAAUGGGCGAAAGCCUGACGGAGCAACGCCGUGUGAGUGAUGAAGGUCUUCGGAUCGUAAAACUCUGUUAUUAGGGAAGAACAUAUGUGUAAGUAACUGUGCACAUCUUGACGGUACCUAAUCAGAAAGCCACGGCUAACUACGUG
rnacentral:rRNA from 1 species